rnacentral:rRNA from 1 species
GAUGAACGCUGGCGGCGUGCCUAAUACAUGCAAGUCGAUCGAACAGACGAGGAGCUUGCUCCUCUGACGUUAGCGGCGGACGGGUGAGUAACACGUGGAUAACCUACCUAUAAGACUGGGAUAACUUCGGGAAACCGGAGCUAAUACCGGAUAAUAUAUUGAACCGCAUGGUUCAAUAGUGAAAGACGGUUUUGCUGUCACUUAUAUAUGGAUCCGCGCCGCAUUAGCUAGUUGGUAAGGUAACGGCUUACCAAGGCGACGAUGCGUAGCCGACAUGAGAGGGUGAUCGGCCACACUGGAACUGAGACACGGUCAAGACUCCUACGGGAGGCAGCAGUAGGGAAUCUUCCGCAAUGGGCGAAAGCCUGACGGAGCAACGCCGCGUGAGUGAUGAAGGUCUUCGGAUCGUAAAACUCUGUUAUUAGGGAAGAACAAAUGUGUAAGUAACUAUGCACGUCUUGACGGUACCUAAUCAGAAAGCGACGGCUAACUACGUG